rnacentral:lncRNA from 1 species
CUGCCGUUACGGUCGGGCCGAGACGCGGCGGUUCUGAGGAACUUCGGGCCGCGACUUUGUGCCAGGAUCGAGAGCAGGAUGAGGCAGCACCGGAUCGAACAAGGGCUCCCCCCGAGCCCCCCCGCUCCACAAGCCCCGCCCCCCGCCGUGGCUCCGCCCACCGCUGAAUACAGGCCCCGCCCAAACUCCGCCCCUUUCAUCCUAUUGGUCGCUUUGCUCAGGACCAAUCAGCCACUCCAGGAGGCGGAGCUUCGGCGUCUGGCUCCGCCCCUUUGCACACGGCCCAUUGUGAGUGGACGUCAAUGGGGGCCUAUGGGGGUCUAUUGGGUCCUAUAGGGGUCCUAUGGGGAUAUGGGGGGGGGUCCUAUGGGGGUCUAUUGGGUCCUAUGGGGUCCCAUGGUGGUCUUGGGGGUCCUAUAGGGAUAUGGGGCGGGUGGUCAGAGCCAGAGAGAGAAUGGACACCCCAUAGGAAUGAAUCAACCCAUAGGAAAUGGGUCAGCCCCAUAGGGACUGAAUUGCCCCAUAGGGACAAGAACACCCCAUAGGGAAUGGGUCACCCCAUAGGGAAUGGGUCACCCCAUAGGGACCCAGUUACCCUAUAGGAACCAGAACACCCCAUAGGGAAUGAGUCACCCCAUACGGACUGAAUCACCCCAUAGGGACCUGGUUACCCUAUAGGAAAUGGGUCACCCCAUAGGGACCAGGUCACCCCAUAGGGAUCCGGUUACCCCAUAGGGAAUGGGUCAGCCCCAUAGGGAUAAAGAACACCCCAUAGGGAAUGGGUCACCCCAUAGGGACUGAAUUGUCCCAUAGGGACAAGAACACCCCCAUAGGAAUGAAGUGCACCCCAUAUGGGGA